rnacentral:rRNA from 1 species
GGUUAAGCGACUAAGCGUACACGGUGGAUGCCCUGGCAGUCAGAGGCGAUGAAGGGCGUGCUAAUCUGCGAUAAGCGCCGGUAAGGUGAUAUGAACCGUUAUAACCGGCGAUACCCGAAUGGGGAAACCCAGUGUGACUCGUCACACUAUCAUUAACUGAAUCCAUAGGUUAAUGAGGCGAACCGGGGGAACUGAAACAUCUAAGUACCCCGAGGAAAAGAAAUCAACCGAGAUUCCCCCAGUAGCGGCGAGCGAACGGGGAGGAGCCCAGAGCCUGAAUCAGCAUGUGUGUUAGUGGAAGCGUCUGGAAAGGCGCGCGAUACAGGGUGACAGCCCCGUACACAAAAGCGCAUGUGCUGUGAGCUCGAUGAGUAGGGCGGGACACGUGGUAUCCUGUCUGAAUAUGGGGGGACCAUCCUCCAAGGCUAAAUACUCCUGACUGACCGAUAGUGAACCAGUACCGUGAGGGAAAGGCGAAAAGAACCCCGGCGAGGGGAGUGAAAAAGAACCUGAAACCGUGUACGUACAAGCAGUGGGAGCACAGGUUUACCUGUGUGACUGCGUACCUUUUGUAUAAUGGGUCAGCGACUUAUAUUCUGUAGCAAGGUUAACCGAAUAGGGGAGCCGCAGGGAAACCGAGUCUUAACCGGGCGUUAAGUUGCAGGGUAUAGACCCGAAACCCGGUGAUCUAGCCAUGGGCAGGUUGAAGGUUGGGUAACACUAACUGGAGGACCGAACCGACUAAUGUUGAAAAAUUAGCGGAUGACCUGUGGCUGGGGGUGAAAGGCCAAUCAAACCGGGAGAUAGCUGGUUCUCCCCGAAAGCUAUUUAGGUAGCGCCUCGUGAAUUCAUCUCCGGGGGUAGAGCACUGUUUCGGCUAGGGGGCCAUCCCGGCUUACCAACCCGAUGCAAACUGCGAAUACCGGAGAAUGUUAUCACGGGAGACACACGGCGGGUGCUAACGUCCGUCGUGAAGAGGGAAACAACCCAGACCGCCAGCUAAGGUCCCAAAGUCAUGGUUAAGUGGGAAACGAUGUGGGAAGGCCCAGACAGCCAGGAUGUUGGCUUAGAAGCAGCCAUCAUUUAAAGAAAGCGUAAUAGCUCACUGGUCGAGUCGGCCUGCGCGGAAGAUGUAACGGGGCUAAACCAUGCACCGAAGCUGCGGCAGCGAACGUAUCACUUAAAGCGAUUCAGCGGGUUACGAUUGACGGAGCGAAGCGACGUCAAAGCGUAUACAAAGUCGAGUCGGUUUAAGGAUACGUUCGUUGGGUAGGGGAGCGUUCUGUAAGCCUGCGAAGGUGGCCUGUGAGGGUUGCUGGAGGUAUCAGAAGUGCGAAUGCUGACAUAAGUAACGAUAAAGCGGGUGAAAAGCCCGCUCGCCGGAAGACCAAGGGUUCCUGUCCAACGUUAAUCGGGGCAGGGUGAGUCGACCCCUAAGGCGAGGCCGAAAGGCGUAGUCGAUGGGAAACGGGUUAAUAUUCCCGUACUUGGUGUUACUGCGAAGGGGGGACGGAGAAGGCUAUGUUGGCCGGGCGACGGUUGUCCCGGUUUAAGCGUGUAGGUGUGUGUUCCAGGUAAAUCCGGUUCACUUUAACACUGAGGCGUGAUGACGAGGCACUACGGUGCUGAAGCAACAAAUGCCCUGCUUCCAGGAAAAGCCUCUAAGCAUCAGGUAACAUCAAAUCGUACCCCAAACCGACACAGGUGGUCAGGUAGAGAAUACCAAGGCGCUUGAGAGAACUCGGGUGAAGGAACUAGGCAAAAUGGUGCCGUAACUUCGGGAGAAGGCACGCUGACAUGUAGGUGAAGUGAUUUACUCAUGGAGCUGAAGUCAGUCGAAGAUACCAGCUGGCUGCAACUGUUUAUUAAAAACACAGCACUGUGCAAACACGAAAGUGGACGUAUACGGUGUGACGCCUGCCCGGUGCCGGAAGGUUAAUUGAUGGGGUCAGCGCAAGCGAAGCUCCUGAUCGAAGCCCCGGUAAACGGCGGCCGUAACUAUAACGGUCCUAAGGUAGCGAAAUUCCUUGUCGGGUAAGUUCCGACCUGCACGAAUGGCGUAAUGAUGGCCAGGCUGUCUCCACCCGAGACUCAGUGAAAUUGAACUCGCUGUGAAGAUGCAGUGUACCCGCGGCAAGACGGAAAGACCCCGUGAACCUUUACUAUAGCUUGACACUGAACAUUGAGCCUUGAUGUGUAGGAUAGGUGGGAGGCUUUGAAGUGUGGACGCCAGUCUGCAUGGAGCCGGCCUUGAAAUACCACCCUUUAAUGUUUGAUGUUCUAACGUGGACCCGUAAUCCGGGUUGCGGACAGUGUCUGGUGGGUAGUUUGACUGGGGCGGUCUCCUCCUAAAGAGUAACGGAGGAGCACGAAGGUUGGCUAAUCCUGGUCGGACAUCAGGAGGUUAGUGCAAUGGCAUAAGCCAGCUUGACUGCGAGCGUGACGGCGCGAGCAGGUGCGAAAGCAGGUCAUAGUGAUCCGGUGGUUCUGAAUGGAAGGGCCAUCGCUCAACGGAUAAAAGGUACUCCGGGGAUAACAGGCUGAUACCGCCCAAGAGUUCAUAUCGACGGCGGUGUUUGGCACCUCGAUGUCGGCUCAUCACAUCCUGGGGCUGAAGUAGGUCCCAAGGGUAUGGCUGUUCGCCAUUUAAAGUGGUACGCGAGCUGGGUUUAGAACGUCGUGAGACAGUUCGGUCCCUAUCUGCCGUGGGCGCUGGAGAACUGAGGGGGGCUGCUCCUAGUACGAGAGGACCGGAGUGGACGCAUCACUGGUGUUCGGGUUGUCAUGCCAAUGGCACUGCCCGGUAGCUAAAUGCGGAAGAGAUAAGUGCUGAAAGCAUCUAAGCACGAAACUUGCCCCGAGAUGAGUUCUCCCUGAGACUUAGAGUCUCCUGAAGGAACGUUGAAGACGACGACGUUGAUAGGCCGGGUGUGUAAGCGCAGCGAUGCGUUGAGCUAACCGGUACUAAUGAACCGUGAGGCUUAACCUU